rfam:Picea glauca, whole genome shotgun sequence.
ACAUGCCUACAACAUAGCGUUAAUGCACUGGAUCCCAUUAGAACUCCGCGGUUAAGCACACUCAAGCUAGAGUAGUACUGGGAUGGGUGACCGCCCGAGAAGUCCUAGUGUUUUACAUGCC